rnacentral:misc_RNA from 1 species
AAGUCGGGAUGUUAUUCGAGCUGAAAUGCGAAGGAAAAGGGCCAAUUGUAAUGAGUAUGGUGCUCGUGUUGAUGCUGCCAUAUCAGAAGAGAUACCAGCUCGCGACUUGCUUAAGGCCAAACGCAAGGAAAUAGACGCUGUUCUAUCUCUGAUUAACAGAGUGAAGAGUGCCUUUUCUGUUGAGGAUAUUGAUGGCAAGAUACGUAAUAUGGAACGUAUGAUACAGCAUGAAACCCUGCCCUUAAAGGAAGAAAAGAAUUAUAUCCGUGAAAUCAAGCAGUUGAAGCAAAUUCGUGAACAGCUUUCUUCUAGUUUAGGUAACCAGGAGGAUGUUCUGGAGGCUAUAGAUCAGAAAGACCAAGUUGAAGAACGCUUGAAGCUUUUGAGGAAAGAAGCAGACCAAUUGAGAGAAAAUGUUCUCAAAGCUGAAGCAGCCAUUACCAGAAAUGCCAAGAAGACAUGUCAAGAAGAAAAUGCUGCUCUUAAUGAAUUGACAACUCGGUUUAGAGCUGCGGAUGACACACGGCAGGAAGCAUAUGCACAUCUACAGAGUUUGAGGAAGAGAUUAUAUGACAAGAACAAAUACUUUUGGAAGUACAGGGAUGAUUCAAAGGUAGCUUAUGAUUUAGCGUCCAAGGGAGAUAAAGAGGAACUUCAAAAUCAUUGUGUUAACCAGGUGGAGAUGGUUAUGGAUUUAUGGAACAAUAUUGAUGAAUUCCGGAGAGAGUACACUAGAUGCAACAUGAAGAGUACACUGAAGAGACUGCAGACAUUAGAUGGUCGUUCACUUGGCCCUGAUGAGGAGCCACCUGUAAUUCCCGAUGCUGCUAGUGAAAGAAUAGCCAAGGACAACAUCGUACCUUCCAUUUCCACUCUUGAAGGAGAAAAAACAAUUGUGCCUGUGGUGACAGAAAAGACAGAUGAUAAAUCCACAGCCAAGGUUGGGGACCAAAAUAAUCCAACAGCUAAAUCUGGAAAGGCUACAAAACAUGUUCCUUCGGGAAAUGGCUUGGCAACUGUGUCUGGCAGGAAUGAGAUUGACGAGACGGAGCAAAAGGAGGAUAAGCAAACAAAGGAGG